AACACCUAGUUAUUUUGCGUUUUUAGUCUGGGUUACUGGUUUAUCACGAAUAAGAUAAGUGGUAUUUAUUUGUUUUAUUUUUCUUUUGUUACUCAAAAAAAAAUAACUAACAUUUUUCUGUGUGGAAAAACAUGCUCCAAUGUGAUUCAAUUUCUAUAAUUCAUCUAAUUCUCUUUGUAAAAUUUCUGUAUCUUGUGUUGUUUUUAUUGUUCUAAAUAUUAGGCAAUCAUCUGCAAAUAAUCUGACUUUUGUUCCUCAACUAAUGCAAUUUGGUAAAUCAUUUAUGUAAAUUAAUUGGCCAGAUCGGCUGUCAAAACUGUAACAGCAAACUUACUUUGGGUCUUGAAAAAAAGGACUGGCUCUGUUUAUGUGCUCAAAGUGUCAUGUCUUUUUUGUGACUCUUCAUGCCACUGCUGCUUCCUCAAAGACACUUCAAGAGUUUAAACAUUACAAAAUAAACGAUCUUUUUUGAACAUAGGUUUAGAAUAUGCUGGCAUGGAGUCAUUUGGUGAAGCCAUGGGAAUGGAUUCCAUGAGAAGCAAGACCUACAAUACUCAUUUAAAAUACAUAGGAAAUAAAAAUGACACAUUUAAAGAUGACAUACAACUGAAAUCUGUUGCGAAAGUAAGGGAAUUUUAUGGCGCCAAAAGCUAGGAGGAUACUGUUGAACUUACUGUAAGCUUUGAUGGUUCUUGGCAAAAAGAGGACAUACAUCAAAACAUGACCAUGAAGUUGUCAUUGAGACCACCACUGGAUUGGCUAUUGACUUUCAUGUGAUGUCAACAUAUUGUCAGAAAUGUUCAACAACUGGAAAGAGGGCAGGCUGCAUAUAAUGAUGGUUUUGAAAACAUCAAAAAGAAUGUGUCAUCAACCAUUCUGGCUCUGCUGGUCUCAUGGAGGUUAAUGCGGCUAAGGUCAUGUGGUGAAGUUUGGCCUACGCUACACUACAUUUGUUAGUGAUGCAGACUGCACAACCCACAAGGAACUACAGUUACUGUCACCUUACAAUGUUGCUUUAAACAACGAAGAGUGCGCUAAUCAUGUGGCUAAGAGGCUUGGUACUACUUUUAGGAAUCUAGUUUCAACAGAAUCCAAAUUGGGCAGGACACAUGAUGGUCGUAAAACUGGAAGCUUAACAAAGAUGGCUGUUCAACAACUGAGGAAUGGAGAAGGAAGAUAAUGACAACACCACAUCAUGCCUCUUCAACAGAUGAAAGUCCUCAACAUGAUGGAUAUCCUGCUGGAAAGGCUUCUUGAUAAUGGUGCUGGUGGGAAGCGUGGUCGAGAGGCUCAGUAUGCUUGGCUUGGCUACCUAUGAAGGGGGCUCGAGGUUCGACACCCGACUCGCGCAGAGUUGUGUUUACUAGUGCACGGAAAAACCUUCUCCUAGAUACCCCCUCCCCCCCACUGG